UACGAAGGGGGCUAGCGUUGUUCGGAAUUACUGGGCGUAAAGGGCGCGCAGGCGGCUCUUCAAGUCAGAUGUGAAAGCCCCGGGCUCAACCUGGGAACUGCAUUUGAGACUGGAGAGCUUGAGUUCGGGAGAGGAUGGUGGAAUUCCCAGUGUAGAGGUGAAAUUCGUAGAUAUUCGCAAGAACACCAGUGGCGAAGGCGGCUCACUGGCCCGGUACUGACGCUGAGGUGCGAAAGCGUGGGGAGCAAACAGG
rnacentral:rRNA from 1 species